rnacentral:rRNA from 1 species
UACGUAGGUGGCAAGCGUUGUCCGGAUUUACUGGGCGUAAAGAGCGCGCAGGCGGUCGUUCAAGUCGCGUGUGAAAGCCCCCGGCUUAACUGGGGAGGGUCAUUCGAUACUGCUCGGCUCGAAGACAGGAGAGGGAAGCGGAAUUCCCGGUGUAGUGGUGAAAUGCGUAGAUAUCGGGAGGAACACCAGUGGCGAAGGCGGCUUUCUGGCCUGUUCUUGACGCUGAGGCGCGAAAGCUAGGGGAGCAAACGGG